rnacentral:rRNA from 1 species
ACGGGAGGCAGCAGUGGGGGAUAUUGCGCAAUGGGGGCAACCCUGACGCAGCAACGCCGCGUGCAGGAAGAAGGUCUUCGGAUUGUAAACUGUUGUCGCAAGGGAAGAAGACAGUGACGGUACCUUGUGAGAAAGUCACGGCUAACUACGUGCCAGCAGCCGCGGUAAUACGUAGGUGACAAGCGUUGUCCGGAUUUACUGGGUGUAAAGGGCGCGUAGGCGGGAUAGCAAGUCAGUCGUGAAAUACCGAGGCUCAACCACGGGGCUGCGAUUGAAACUGUUAUUCUUGAGUAUCGGAGAGGAAAGCGGAAUUCCUAGUGUAGCGGUGAAAUGCGUAGAUAUUAGGAGGAACACCAGUGGCGAAGGCGGCUUUCUGGACGACAACUGACGCUGAGGCGCGAAAGUGUGGGGAGCAAACAGGAUUAGAUACCCUGGUA